GAUGAAGAACGCAGCGAAAUGCGAUAAGUAAUGCGAAUUGCAGAAUUCAGUGAGUCAUCGAAUCUUUGAACGCACAUUGCGCCCUGUGGUAUUCCGGGGGGCAUGCCUGUCCGAGCGUCAUUACAACCCUCAAGCCCAGCUUGGUGUUGGGCCCCGCCGCCCCGGCGGGCCCUAAAGUCAGUGGCGGUGCCGUCCGGCUCCGAGCGUAGUAAUUCUUCUCGCUCUGGAGGUCCGGUCGUGUGCUCGCCAGCAACCCCCAAUUUUUUUCAGGUUGACCUCGGAUCAGGUAGGGAUACCCGCUGAACUUAAGCAUAUCAAUAAGCGGAGGA
rnacentral:misc_RNA from 1 species